rnacentral:tRNA from 7 species
GGAGAGAUGGAUGAGCGGUUUAAGUCGCACGCCUGGAAAGCGUGUAAGGGUUAACAGCCCUUCGGGGGUUCGAAUCCCCCUCUCUCCGCCA